AAAAACCAUAGCUUUGACUAUAUGGACCUUUGUCAGCAAGGUGAUGUCUUUACUUUUCAAUAUGCUGUCUAGGUUUGUCAUAACUUUCCUUCCAAGGAGCGAGUGUGUUUUAAGUUCACGGCUGCAAGCACUGUCCAGAGUGAUUUUGGG